UACGAAGGUCCCAAGCGUUGUUCGGAAUCACUGGGCGUAAAGGGUGCGUAGGCCGCACGGUAAGUCAGAGGUGAAAUCCCGGAGCUCAACUCCGGAAUUGCCUCCGAUACUGCCGUGCUUGAGGACUGGAGAGGAGUCUGGAAUUCACAGUGGAGCAGUGAAAUGCGUAGAUAUCAAGAGGAACACCUGAGGUGAAGACGGGUUGCUGGGCUGACACUGACGCUGAGGCGCGAAAGCCAGGGGAGCAAACGGG
rnacentral:rRNA from 1 species